CGGCGACCCACUUCCGGUCGCUUAGCGGCUAGUAACUGAAUUAAAAGUUCGUUUUCGGCGGCUGGUUUAUCCUAUGCCAGCGCCCUAAUAGUCCCAGCAAAGAAAUCCACACACAGUCUCUCACGUACGAGGGCUCAACGGUGUUUUGAGAGCGAAGUCACGUCGAUCGGCCGUGACAAUCGGCCGGGCUCCGUCUAAUCGCUGGAUUCUCCGUAGUCGACACAGACCCUCCUCCGCUUCUCCGUCGCGGGGACUGGCUAAGUGUUGAUUACUGCUCGGACAUCUGAUUACUGCUUUUUAUAAGCUGUAUUGCACAAGCGUAAGCUAACACCAGUACAGUAACUGUGCCUUUACAGAAGCCAGAAACUCACCAGCUCGGCUUCAUCAGUCAUAACAACAAUAUCAAUGAAAAGAAGAUCCGGCAGCACUCCUAAUCGUGUUUUUGUGUGUAAAGAAGAAGAUUAAGAAUGUGCAACAAGAUAAGGGCAUGUACAACCAAGAAGGAGGGAGUUCUUCAUGCAAGGCUGAGCCCACUUGUCCCCAGUCAGAUAAUAUAGUAGUGGCAGACGCAGGCGACAAUGCAGAUAUUGGAGACUGUCCUAGUAAUGACAUAUGAUGUGUCUACCAUGCUGUAAAAUGCUGAUGGGGUAUUGUCACCAAGCCGCAGGCUAUGCAGGCAGACGGGAGGCGUGGACACCCAAGUUAUGUGAAUGCAGUCCAGCUGUUAAGUGAUGACAUAUACACCAUGCUACUGGAUCCCAACUACACUGUGUUCUUUAAGGCUGUUGUCUUUUUAAUGUGUUUUAAUGCUUCGUGUCUCGUUCUAUUUAAUCUGAAAUAGCCCCUAAAAAUAGUCUGGCCUCUCUGGGUUUAUAUUAGCACUAUUCUGCAGCACGUUUUAAAGCUCAGUUUUAAAACCUUACGAUGUAGCUACAGCCCAUCGACUCAGGAUUUGCCAGACAUAUUUUAACAAUAUUUUAACUGGUGAGAAAAUACACUCUGAGGCUUAUAAAGAUUUAAAUGGGUAUAUGAAGCUCAGGAUCAGGAAUUUUUGAUAGCGAAGAAUCCAAAGGAUAUUAAUGUGUAUAUAUUCAUCCAUCCACUUCCGCUUAUCCUUUUCAGGGUCACGGGGGGCACUGGAGCCUGUCCCAGGGCAAGAGGCAGGGUACACCCUGGACAGGUCGCCAGUCUGUCAGAGACAGACAACCAUUCGCACUCACAUUCACACCUAUGGGCAAUUUGGAUUAAUCAAUUAACCUGUCCCCACAAACUGCAUGAUGGUGAAAUCGAACUCAGGACCUUCUUACUGUGCAGUAACAGUGCUAACCACCGUGCCACCGUGCUGCCAGUAACGUGUAUAUAUUCGUAGUAUAUUAGGGACUAACCUUGUACUAGGGAUGGAUCAUCUCAAAUCUUCUCUUGACCGAAGUUUGUUUUCAGCAUCUUUUUCUUGCCAUGCGAUUGCAUUUGUCUCUGUCCAUCAGGAACCAUCACGCUAACUUUUAUUGAGGAGAAAUAAGUUAGAGUUCAUCCUCCCGCUUCACUGUGUGAAUAUGCUUGUAUUAUCCUAACCAUACCGCCAUAACUAGCCACCAAGUAGCACAUUAUUGUAUCCCAGCUAGCCCAACUUUAGAAACCAUUGUUGCUGUUUAGUUUUCUGCCUUCAUUUAUGUCCGAAGUGACAGCAGAACUGUACGUUUGAAUUUUUCAGAAAUUUAUAACGCCGUUAGGCUUCAUAAACACUGUUUUCAUGGCCGUCUAAAUGCUAAACUUUGUUACACCUGGUAGAGUGGCAACACUGAUAAUUUUAUUAAAAAUGAAAGAUACAGACAGUUUUUAACUCUCUUUUGUUUGUGAACUCAAGAAGUGUUUAGACCCGGAAACGGCUAAAGUCGUCAGACUAAAGAGGCAAAUGAGGUUUCAAAUUGAUACCAUAGGUGCAACUGCUAAAAAUCUCAGACAAAGUUCAUUCCUAGUUAUCUUGACCUUCAGGUCAGAUGUCAAGGUUUCUGAAAAUCUUGUGACUGUGACAACUUGAGAAGAAGAUGACGUACGGCAUACUUUUUGGUAUUUUUAAAAAUUACACGUAUAAUGCUGUUUAAGUGCUUUUGUCCAGAAAGUAACAAAAACUUAAUAAUGAGAUUUCUACUUCUUUUGCAGACUGGAGUGUGAAAAGCAAGGGUCUUUAGGUUGUUGGUUUGUUUUGGUUUUUUUUAUCAGCUUUGAAGCUUCUUUUUUUUUUUUUUUUUUUACAAAUCCACUUUUUCCAGCUUUUUUUUAAAUAUGUUAAGAAUUCUGUUUUGUUUUUUUGUUUUUGUUAAAAUCUUUUUUAAGAGAACAUAAGUCUUGUAAUUACUGACAAUGUAUUUUUAUUAUAUGCCUGUAUUAUUGAGACCAUGUAUGUAUCAAGAUCACUUCAACAAUAUUUUUCGAUAACAUGUAAAGUGUGAAACUGUCAGCUAUGUCCAAUAAAUUGUGUCUUUAACGAUGCAUAACUAUAAUAAUAAUUUAUAAUAAAGAGAAACAGGAA
ensembl:lncRNA